rnacentral:rRNA from 1 species
UACGGAGGGGGCUAGCGUUGUUCGGAAUUACUGGGCGUAAAGCGCGCGUAGGCGGACCUGCAAGUCGGGGGUGAAAGCCCGAGGCUCAACCUCGGAACUGCCUCCGAUACUGCGGGUCUCGAGUCCGGGAGAGGUGAGUGGAAUUCCUAGUGUAGAGGUGAAAAUUCGUAGAUAUUAGGAAGAACACCAGUGGCGAAGGCGGCUCACUGGCCCGGUACUGACGCUGAGGCGCGAAAGCGUGGGGAGCAAACAGG